AGAGUUUGAUCCUGGCUCAGGACGAACGCUGGCGGCGUGCUUAACACAUGCAAGUCAAGGGGGCUCCGCAAGGGGCAACCGGCGAACGGGUGCGUAACACGUGAGCAACCUGCCUUCGAGAGGGGGAUAGCCGGCCCAACGGCCGGGUAAUACCGCAUACGCUCCUUUGGUGGCAUCACUGGGGGAGGAAACGUUUACGGCUCGGAGAGGGGCUCGCGGCCUAUCAGCUAGUUGGUGAGGUUACGGCUCACCAAGGCGACGACGGGUAGCUGGUCUGAGAGGAUGGCCAGCCACAUUGGGACUGAGAAACGGCCCAGACUCCUACGGGAGGCAGCAGUGGGGAAUCUUGCGCAAUGGCCGAGAGGCUGACGCAGCGACGCCGCGUGGGGGAUGAAGCAUUUCGGUGUGUAAACCCCUGUUGCUCGGGACGAACGACCGGUUUCGACCGGUGUGACGGUACCGAGUGAGGAAGCACCGGCUAACUCCGUGCCAGCAGCCGCGGUAAUACGGAGGGUGCGAGCGUUGUCCGGAAUCACUGGGCGUAAAGGGCGCGUAGGUGGUUAGAUGCGCCGGUGGUGAAAGCGCAGGGCUCAACCCUGCGUCGGCCAUCGGGACGGUCUGACUGGAGCACUGUAGAGGCAGGUGGAAUUCCGGGUGUAGCGGUGGAAUGCGUAGAGAUCCGGAAGAACACCGGUGGCGAAGGCGGCCUGCUGGGCAGUUGCUGACACUGAGGCGCGACAGCGUGGGGGGCAAACAGGAUUAGAUACCCUGGUAGUCCACGCCGUAAACGAUGGGGCACUAGGUGCUUGGGGGAGCGACCCCUCUGAGUGCCGACGCUAACGCAUUAAGUGCCCCGCCUGGGGAGUACGACCGCAAGGUUGAAACUCAAAGGAAUUGACGG
rnacentral:rRNA from 1 species